UUUUCUCAAUGUAAGUGUAUUUGUUCCCCUCCCAGCAUCUGCAGACUAGAGUGGAAGCCGCUCUUCUGGAAGUCUCUCUCUCACACACACUCCUACAGUCCCAUUACGGUCGAGUCCGACUUCAACAACCCUCUUUAUGAGGCAGGUGACACGCGGGAGUAUGAAGUAUCAAUUUAGAGGAGAAAACGUCUCGGUGAGAGUUGAACACCACAGGGAGAUUCAAUUAUUUUGGACGAGAAAUGUCUGAGGAUUGUAAGGCCUCACUCCCCUUUUAUCAUUAUUUUCUAACUUUUUUACAUUUUACCAUCACUGUAUCUCUGGUUUAUCAGUUUGUGGAAGUGCUUUAUUCUUGAUUUGUUGCACUGAUGUGGUGAUUUGCCAAAUGUGGGUCCUACUUCACGGUCCAACUGUCUGUAUCACUAGGACUGGUGCCUUAUGAAGGGUAAGUAAUGGAUAACAAAGGGAACAAAUAGCAAUGUGGGAGGCAUAGGUUAAGUGUAAAAGGGUGUUGUUGAAAUGUAUCUAUUUAUUAAGUUACAUUAUUAUGAGGCCAAAACAUCAGAGAACUUGGCAAUACUUUAUUUGUUACUAUCAAAAGAGCAUACACAGUGAAUGUGAAUGUUUUUCUUUCAUUAUAACAGUUGUACAUUAUACAAAGUGUUACAGUUAAAGGGAAAAAUACUUUCAUUUCAAUCAUGAGAAAAGUUUGAUCAACUCAGUCAUUUUCUCUCUGUGUAACACACACACACACACACACACACACACACACACACACACACACACACACUCA